UACGAAGGGGGCUAGCGUUGCUCGGAAUUACUGGGCGUAAAGCGCACGUAGGCGGGUCGUUAAGUCGGGGGUGAAAUCCUGGAGCUCAACUCCAGAACUGCCUUCGAAACUGACGAUCUUGAGUUCGGGAGAGGUGAGUGGAACUGCGAGUGUAGAGGUGAAAUUCGUAGAUAUUCGCAAGAACACCAGUGGCGAAGGCGGCUCACUGGCUCGGUACUGACGCUGAGGUGCGACAGCGUGGGGAGCAAACAGG
rnacentral:rRNA from 1 species